ACACACACAUACCUAUGCAUGUAUGUAAGUAUAUAUAUGUGUGUAUGUAUAUAUAUGUAUAUAUAUAUACAUAAGUCGUUUAAAAGUCCAUAAGUCGUCAUAUUUCAUUCCAUAUCGGCUACCUCUGAUGAGCUUAGGGUUAAAUAAUUGGAUUGUUAACUAACACUCCAUGGUACCCCUAGUGCGAAACUGAUUUGUAAGAUCAGCCAUGAUGGAGAUACAAUAUUGCACCCUUCAGAUAAUAUAUAUAUAUAUAUGCACACACACACACACACACACAUGCCAUAUACUUACAUACAACAGAGAUAUCUUUGUUUCCGAGAAGGGUCAAUCAAAGUUUUUGAAACGUGAAUUUUGAUGUCUUGUGAUAAAAUGUUUCUUUGCUGGAUUUACAGAGAAAUCUGUCAACAAAAUAAUGAUAACUUCUCUGAUGAUGCAAAUUGUUACCCAUUUAAGAAACUGUCAUCUCUGUCACGACCAGAAUGCUUAAGUUGGGGUUUUUAUUCCAUUGGACUUUUGGAUAUUGAGUUCUUCAUUGAAGAAUGGUCUUUUUUAAGCAGUACAUUCUGGACACACACACACAUAUUAAACACACAUAUAUAUAGUUGUGUACACAUUAUCUAUGUUAUGUAUGUGUUAUGUGUGUAUAUAUAUGUGUGUAUGUAUGUAUAUAUAUAUAUGUGUGUGUGUGUGUAUAUAUAUAUGUAUGUAUGUGUUUGUAUAUGUGUAUAUAUAUAUGUCUAUAUAUGUAUGUAUAUGUGUGUGUGUGUGCAUGAGCACAUAUCUCAAUAUUAAAAAACAGCAAUAUAUAAAAAAGUAAAAACAAUUUUAGACUCUCCUUUUU
rnacentral:lncRNA from 1 species